CGGGAGCCAAAGGAAACAUUUAAAAGCAUGAUGAGCUGCAAAGAUCCCGGAGUAACUGGAGCAGGGCUGGCGUAUGUGGGCUUUAGGGGCGAGGGAAAUGGAAGGCAACUUGUGUAGUAUGUGCCUGCAUUCCUUGAAGGCCCGUCGUAAAGUCAGGGCUACUACCGAUUCUAAUCAUAAAACUCCCCUUAGCUCCUUACUUGUUAUCCAUGCAAUCCCCGUCCCUAUCCAAGCAAAAUUUGGGAAGUUGUAUCCUUGAGAAAUAAAACGGAGGAUCGUGGGCGGUCGGGGCGGUCAGGGACUUUUUGCAUUCAUGCGCGAACUGCAUUUCCGACCGAGCGAUAUCAUCUACGUCUGCUUCUCCCAGCAUUAGCAAGGCGUUGGAGUACAAGUGUGAUUAGCCGAGCAGAGUUGUGAAUGGCCUCCGGUAACGCCUCCGGGUUUCAAUUAAACUAUACCUAUCGUAUACAGCAUGUGUUUGGGAAUUGCACAACCAGAACGAUACACCGGCAGUGGCCACGAAAACAUCAUAAGACCAUGAAAACCCAUUAAAAGCCAGAACCGACGAUAAGCAACUGAAACUCGUGUCACAUUAAAUCAGUAUCAAAAUGCGUGUAUCCACCAAUCAUCCGUAGGAUCCAGCCCGCAUUAGACUAAUAAGUUGAGGAGGUUAAUAUCCUCCUUCGGAGGCGGGUGUUUGGAGCUAGCAGACAGGCCUGACCGGAGGGUUUUCCUCCCCCCGUCUUGAAACUCGCUUAGUAUCUCAAUUCAAUCCCCAAUCCAAUCCAUCCAGAAGUAAGCUCUGGUCUCCCAGUCGGUGUUCGGAACCUUCAGAGUACCAGUUGUUGUGUAAACCGUUGUGUCCGCUGGGCUCCGCCACGUCAGCAGCAGCAGUAGCAGCAGCAGCAGCAGCAGCCUUGGAGACGCAGACGGACAGACUGACAGACUCCGGGGUGGGCCCAGCGGUGGGGGUGGUGGACUGCCGCAAGGAGUUGGAUUAACGCGGUGUACGAUGUACAACAGUCCUUAUAAUGGGACUCUGCGUAGAUAUGAACUGGGUUUAGUUAUACCCUGGAGAGCAUCGUGAGCAUUAUCGUCAUUAGAAGCGGAAUUAGAAGCAGUAUUAGCAAGUAUAUAUACUCGACAGCCAUUUCGAGAGAACCAGCUAUGCGAUGUCCGUGCGAAUACGAUGUGCGAACGGUUUGGGUUGUGCGAAAUGGUCAAAAGGUGUUGUCAAAAGGUUGGAGUAUGUUGGAGUCUGUAAAUGGCCUGAGAGGGGGAGCGUCCUGGGCGAGCACAUGUGGCUGGCCGUUGGUGUAGUGGCCUUGAAGACGUGUUAAAAAGUUGCCGCUGUUGGGAAUUAGUUGGCAUUCUAGUUGUAUUCUCGUACGACAAUUUUUU
rnacentral:lncRNA from 1 species